CGGAGUGUGGCUCAGCUUGGUAGAGCGCUUGGUUUGGGACCAAGAUGUCGCAGGUUCGAAUCCUGUCACUCCGA
rnacentral:tRNA from 1 species